AAAACUGCGUAGGAGAUCAUUAAUACAAUAGUAUUAUAUAAACCAAGCCUGAUGUUGGCCGCUCAUUCAAAGAAUGCAGCAGUGUGACAGCCAGCAAUCAAAAGUAACAAGAUGUCGAGGAAAUGCAGAGUGCAAUAAACUUUGUAGGAGAUUAUGAUUGCAAUAGAAUAAAAUCGACCAAGCCUGAAGUUCUUCAAUGCACGCAGCAGUGUGACAGCCAGCAAUCAAAAGUUACAAGAUAUCGAGGAAAUGCAGAAGGCAAAAAACUGCGCAGGAGAUUAUUAAUACAAUAGUAUUAUAUCAACCAAGCCUGAUGUCGGUAGCUUCUUCAAUGAAUGCAGCAGUGUGACAGCCAGCAAUCAAUAGUGAUAGUGACAAGAAUCUAGGAAAUACAGAAGGCAAAGAAGCAGAUGUCAUCAAAGAAGAUCUUUGUUCCUGCAAUGUUUCCGCAGACGAUACAUCCAACAGAGCGAAGUGGAAGGAAAAGACUCGGAAAAAAGACCCCACCACCAUAUGGGAACAAUGCAAGGGAGAGAGAGAGAAUAUAAUUUUAUAUUUUUAUUUUUUGAUAACAUAAAAUAAACCAACAAUAUCCUACACAUUUUUUUUAUUUCUUUUUGUGUCUGUCUUAAUAGUUAUUACAAAUCUGUGAUGCGAAACAAACUAUACGAAAACG
rnacentral:lncRNA from 1 species